AGUAACACGUGGAUAACCUACCUAUAAGACUGGGAUAACUUCGGGAAACCGGAGCUAAUACCGGAUAAUAUUUUGAACCGCAUGGUUCAAAAGUGAAAGACAGUCUUGCUGUCACUUAUAGAUGGAUCCGCGCUGCAUUAGCUAGUUGGUAAGGUAACGGCUUACCAAGGCAACGAUGCAUAGCCGACCUGAGAGGGUGAUCGGCCACACUGGAACUGAGACACGGUCCAG
rnacentral:rRNA from 1 species